GUGUGUGAUGUCUAGAAAUGGGAGGGAAAUGAAAGAGGAAGCUUUGAAAAUUUGAAAUAAGCCUUAAUCAAGGCUCCUGUGUUAAGUUUGCCAAAUUUGGAAAAGCCAUUCCAUCUCGUAAACACAGAGAAUGGAAUUGCACAAGGUGUGUUGGCUCAGGACUGGGCAGGACAACGGAAGCCUGUGGCAUUCCUGUCAAAAAUAAUGGAAAAUUGACCUUUGGGGGAGCCCUCAUUGUGAGCACCCCACAUCAAGUCAGAACCAUUCUCCAGCAAAAAGCAGGAAGAGGGCUGACUGAUUCCCAAAUUCUGAGAUAUGAGGCAAUUUUGAUGAAACAAACAGGUUUGGUUUUAACCACAGACCAUAAUUUGAAUCCAGCACAUUUCUUAGCCAACACUAGAUCAGUGGAUCAAUAUGGAUUAGAACAUUAUUGUUCUGAAGUAAUAGACUUACAAACUAAAAUAAGAUUUGAUUUGGGGGAACACCCCCUUGACAAAACAGAGGCAAUUUUAAUAGAUGGUUCUUUUGGGGGGGGACCACAGAAAAACAUACC